AACGCAUUUCAUAUUAAUAACAGACCCACCGGAGAUGCUGGCCGGAGCUGUGCUUAUACUGUGAGCUCGGUGGAAAAAACCGCGAGAGGAGGCAUCGUCCGAAGAUCGUGAUAAAUAAAGACAUCCCUGCAGGCAUCAUCCACACCUCCAUCCUCUCUCUCCCGCACGUUCGUCUCGCCUCUGACUUUCUCCAAACACCGACCCAAUGAAGGAGCCCGACGCCAUCAAACUCUUCAUCGGGCAGAUCCCACGCAAUCUGGAGGAGAAGGACCUCAAGCCCAUCUUUGAGCAGUUCGGCAAGAUCUACGAGCUGACUGUGAUCAAGGACAAGUACACGGGCGUGCACAAAGGAUGCGCCUUUCUGACAUACUGUGCUCAAG